rnacentral:rRNA from 1 species
UGGAGAGUUUGAUCCUGGCUCAGAUUGAACGCUGGCGGCAGGCCUAACACAUGCAAGUCGAGCGGAUGAGUGGAGCUUGCUCCAUGAUUCAGCGGCGGACGGGUGAGUAAUGCCUAGGAAUCUGCCUGGUAGUGGGGGACAACGUUUCGAAAGGAACGCUAAUACCGCAUACGUCCUACGGGAGAAAGCAGGGGACCUUCGGGCCUUGCGCUAUCAGAUGAGCCUAGGUCGGAUUAGCUAGUUGGUGAGGUAAAGGCUCACCAAGGCGACGAUCCGUAACUGGUCUGAGAGGAUGAUCAGUCACACUGGAACUGAGACACGGUCCAGACUCCUACGGGAGGCAGCAGUGGGGAAUAUUGGACAAUGGGCGAAAGCCUGAUCCAGCCAUGCCGCGUGUGUGAAGAAGGUCUUCGGAUUGUAAAGCACUUUAAGUUGGGAGGAAGGGCAGUAAGUUAAUACCUUGCUGUUUUGACGUUACCAACAGAAUAAGCACCGGCUAACUUCGUGCCAGCAGCCGCGGUA